rnacentral:rRNA from 1 species
UUCAGUAUCAGCAGGUGGCAGCACCCAACCAAUUUUGGCUCAUCUUGGAAAGUUAAGCUGGGCCAGACCUGGUUAGUACUUGGAUGGGAGACCACUUGGAAAUUCCAGGGCAGUAU